AAAACCUUGAGACCAUUGGGAUGCCAAAUCUUCUGGAAUAUAUUUAUGUUGACAAAUUUGUUGGACAUGAGAUUGAUCUUUACCUGGUGAAAGUUUUCCUUGAGAAUGCAAAAUCAUUAGUUAAGCUGACAAUCUCUACCUGUUGUAAUGAUAUUGAUGGAAAGAAGCCUGAGAUUAUUGAGAAGUUAAUGGCACUUCCAAGAGCUUCAACAAAUGUGGAAGUACUUCUCUUGUAACGUAAUUUUAGUUGCUGAAAAGAGGUAAUGACGUUUUUCUACUUAUUUUUAACACAAUCAAGAGGUUCUCAUGUUUGUACUUAAUGAUAUGCCAUUGCCAAUAUUCGGUUGAGAAGUGGUUGGGUUAAAUUUUUUUCUUGGCAAUGCUAUAAAGUAAACGUUACUGCUUAUUGCUGGGAAGUUGUCCAUUGGGAAUUUGGGACUUGGUACUGAAAUGCUCAUGCUUUUGUCGGCAAUAUGACCUUACUGUUGCCUAAAAAAAAAGUCUAAUUAUUGUUGCCUUGAGCUUUCUAUUGGUUCCUGCUAUUGGUUUGUGAAACUGGAAAAUGCAAUGCUUGGUUGGCUUUAUUUUUAAUGUUUGUAUCAUUUUCCUGAGGAGUGGACAAUCAUAUGUUAGCUAUAUUUUUAGGGACUUUUAUUUUUCUCCCCUGUAGAAUGCUUAACUCAUAGCUGCAGUAAAUGUUUUACCCAAAGGGAAACCUUUAACAAGUACAAUUUUGGCGAGUAUCAGAUUGUUUUAAAGUCCUUUUUAGUUGUUUCGAGAUUCCUAAAUGAAAGAAACAAGAAAAAAGAAAUGCCUCAUUCUUUACUGAUUUCAUUUUACUGUUUCUCUGCUUGCAGGAAAAACUUAAGAGAUCUCUCGUAAGGAUUCCUGUUUAGAGAAGGAAGAAGAUUCGCGUUUAACAUUGACAGACAAACUCUUGAGUCUUGGGAGACUUACAAAAGUGAGGCUGUGAGAUCCAUUUGAAGAAAAUAAAGAAAAAGGAUGGUGUUAACUUAAUAGGCCAAUAAUAGUUUAGCUACUUGAUGAAAGCCGAUGGAUGCUCUGUUAGAUAUAAAAAUGUAUAUUUUAUAGAAACAAAGAUGUGGAGCUUGUUUGUCUUUCUGUACUAAUCCUUUUGGAUGGAAAGUAAUGUAAUUGCAAAACUUUUGGAAUUUAAAGUAUUCAUCAUUGAAGGACUUUUGCUAGUUUGGAGAACGAUAUCUUCUGUUCCUUCUCUUAUUUGCUUCGAUCUAUGGGAGGAAAAAUUGAUUGUUGGCCGAGUCUGUAAAAGAAAAACUUUUGAUUGGGGAGACAUUUGUAAGAAAAAUUUUAAUUCUUAAUUGUCGAUGGUUAAUGAAAGUUGAACAUCCUGAAAAAUAAAUUAUAUGUUCGAUAUUGUUUAAUUUUUAAAUUUUCAAUUGAUCAACUAAAUCUAAUUGAUUUUAACGAACAACAUGUCAAUUUCUCUGCUUAUAUCAUUGCACAACAUCUUAUUGAAGAAAAGUAAUUGAUCAUAAAUUUUGCUUUGUUAAUGACUUAAAAAAUUGUGUAUUACCCUUUUUCUCUUUAGAUGUAAUUUAGUUUUAUUACAAUAAUUUAAAGAAUUUCCGCCAUGAGUUUGCUCUACUAUUUUAUUAUUAUGUUGGACAUGAGAUUGAUCUUUAUCGGGCGAAAAUUUUCCUUAAUAAUGCAAAAGCUUUGGUAAAAUUGACCAUCUCUACUUUUUGGAAUAGUACUGAAGGUGAUGAUGGAAAGAAGUAUAAGAUUAUUGAGAAGUUAUCAGCAUUUUCGAGAGUUUUAGCAAAAGUAGAAGUACUUCUCUUCUAACUAAAUUCCAUUGCUGAGAGGAGCUAAUAACAUUUGUGCUAUUUAUUUUUCAAUCAAGGGGUUCCCAUGUUUGUACUCGAAUUUCUUAUGUUUGUAUUUAGAUUAAUGAAAUGCCCUUGCCAUUAUUGGGUUGAGAGUUGGGUGGGUUAAAUUCUUAUUCUCAUCAAUGCUAUAAAGCAAACAAAUCUUUUUUUUUUUGGUAAAAACUAUUAAGUAAAAGUUUCUGCUUAUUGAUGGGAAAUGGGGGUCUCAGUACUGAAAUACUCAUGCUUUUGUUAGGUAACAUUAACUGAUUCUUGCUUUAAAAGAUUAAAAAAGAUAUCUAAUUAUUAUUGCCUUCAGCCAACUUUUGGUUCCUGUUGUUGGUUUGUAGAAGAAAAAUAAAAUGCACAGUUGAAUAUAUUUCCAAUAUUUCAAUCAAUUCCUCUUCAUUAGAUGUUCAUAUUUUCUGUUGGCAAUAUUGUAAAUAUUUUUUAUUAUUGUCGUCGAUGGAAUGUUUCGGUGCAAUUCCACGUAGCACUUAACAAGUUAAAUUAUGAUAUGCGUGAGAUUGUUUCAUGGUCCCUUCUCAUUUCAAGGUUUCAAUAAGAGCGACGAAUAUUUUUACAAAAGAAAAAUAAAUAGUUCAUGGUCAAUGGCUUUCAUCUAUGUUUUUUACCGGUUUGUGAGAAAAUCCAACAAAUCUUAGAAGGGUUUCUAUAAGUUAGAAUCAAGAAAAUUGACAUUUGACAUUGAAUAAAUAACAGUAUGAGAAUAUAAUCUUCCCUAGCGACUAACUCUAAAUCUUUCAACCUUCAAAAAAAAGAAUUUUUCAUCUUAUCAUUAUAACUGGCUAAGUAAUUAAGAACAAUCUUCAUACUGCAAGUCCUAAAUACUUGUCUUCAGGAAAAAAUUUCAAGAUACAAGUUUAGGAACUUGUCUUCUAUGUAUCAUACGGUUGUUCAAGUUGGAAAAACAUACAAUCAUAUUGCUUAGAAAAUCUUUUAUAUCAUUAAAUUAUCUGUAAACAAUGAUUUGUGAUAGUAUAAUCUUUGGCCAUCCCAUAUAAAAUUCUCUAUUUUUGUUGUUUUUUGUAUUAUGAAAUUGUGUAUUAUCAUAUUAUGCUCGGUGCUGCAGUUUCUCUUCUAUAAAUGCAACAAUCCUUUGACACAUACAAAUUGAAUUAUAUUUUUAUACUGUAACAGAUGUUUCUGCUUGUCUGUUUGGUCAUCUCUCAACUAAGAAAAAUAUAUCAAAAUAUAUAUAUUUAUAUAUAUGCAAGCUAAUUUUUUAAGAUUGUAUGUAAAUGUCCAGAAACAAUUUUGAAAACAUCACGAUUGUUAUGAUCCUUAGUUUUAAGAAAUACUUUUUGUAGAAGAGUUUGAUGUGGUGACUUUUGUGAAAUCUCUAAUUUUCACUUUCUUGGUAUUAAUUGUUAUGGUGGAGGUGAGUUACUAGAAUGCCAGAUACUUUAUAAGAUAAGUUUACUAUAAAGUAAGAAAUGGAGUUUUGACGAAAAUAACGAAAUUAAUUAAGAUAUAUCUAUUACAUAGAAAAUCAUGUACUUUAACAUAUUUCUUAAAUUUGAACUAAUAUUUUUUUUUUAAAUAACAUUGAACUGAUAUUUUCAAUUACGAUUUUUAGAUCCUAUGCCUUUUAAUUACUUGAAGAUAGAACUGACGCUUAAUAUUCGGUGUAAUUCACCAUAAAAUACUCCCACAUGCUUUGGAAAUGUGAAAUUAAUGUCAACAACAAAACCAAACUCAUUGUUUCAUUAUUUUGUCCUCUCAUCUAGAGUUGGCACACCUUUUUUUUUCCCUCAAAUAAUACAUUUACAUCUUAUUUUGAUAAAUUUUAGUGAUAAAUAAUUAAUGUAUGACAAUGACAGUGAUUGGAUGACAAUGACACAUGAUGGGAAUGAAUUUUUUUUUUUUAAUAUUUGGACGAUUGUGUAUUAAUGUAUGUUAAUGACGACUGUUUGUUUGAAUGAUAAAAUAGUAUAUUUAUAUUUUUAGUCAAAUUAUUAAUUUAUCUCUAUUUAAUAUAUGUAAUAGUAAAUGAUAUAUAAGAAGUAUAUAAUAAAAAAAAUAAAUAAAUUAUAUAAGAAUAUAAUUAAAUUUGUAUUUAAAUAAAUAAUUAUUACACAUAAUCAAAUUAAACUUUUAUAUUUAAUAAAAUAAAUAAUUGUUAUUUAUAUUAUUACAUUAAUUUAAUUUUAAUAUAUAUUAAAAAUAAAUGAUUGUAAUUAAAUAUUAUUAUAUUAAAUCUAAAAUUAUUUUAAUAAAUAAAAAAUUAAAAUGUGUUUGAGAUAAUCGCAUAUCAUGAGUUAAUUUGAUGAAAUGAGAAGAGAAAUAUGGGGUUUAUUUGAGGAUAUAACUAGAAUUAAAUAUAUUUUAUGAAGGUAUAACGGGAAAAAAAAAUAUUACAUGCCGAUCACAUACCACCGAUUCGGUGGUUUUAAAAUUUAUCACAAAUUUGUCAAUCAUAUACCGUUUGUUACCAUUUCAUCUGAUUGGAAGUUAAAACAAAUAUGAUUUUUUUAGUGGAAUACCAUAUAUUAAUUAAUUACCAUUUACUACGAUCAAAAUAGAGUGUUAAUGUUGCUCCAAAAAAAUCAUAUCUCUCUCUAGGCCCACCCUAAUUACAAAACCAAUCACAUUUUCUUCUUCAAUUCAGCUAUCAGAAAACCAUACCUUUAACAUUGUUCCAUUACUUUCUCCCAUGCCAGCCUCAUCUACAUCCUUAAUCUGGCUUACAUUCUCUAAUAGAAAAAUUGAUAUGCUUUUUAGCAAAUUAUUUCUCUUCUCUGUUUCUUUUGUUAUUGUAUUUGCAUUACCCAACUAAUUACUCUUUACAGAUCCUUCACAACAAAACAUAAUUUUAUGGUGAACCUAUAAUGAAUAGCGUACACUAUGUUUUUUGAUAUAUCACAUUCAUGUACAUAGAAACUAUGCAAUUUUUAAAGUUUAUAUAAGAUUAUCAUUGAUUAAGCACAUAUCACAAUCCAAGAAAUAGAGAACUUAAAUGAAGAUGUGCUUUUUUUUUUUUAUAUAUAAGCCUGCCCAUGCCUAAAGCUCAUCCCUCACCAAUCCCGCAAUCACCCAAUUGAUCCUUAGGAGACCGUACACUAUAGACUAGAUGUUAUACAUCAUCAGGCAACAUAGAAGAAUGUGGUUACAUGAUUCCACAUUCAUCUUACAUAAAAAGUAGUUAUUAACCAUAAAUUUUUUCUUCCUCAUCAGCUUAGCAUUUGGUUAAAAUCAUCUUCUAAGGUUAAAAAAAGAUGGAGAGAGGAUUUUCUUAUCUUAUACCUUAAGUACUCAGAGACAACCAAGAGGCUUACUAUUCGCUAUAGUUACAAACGAAACUAUAAUAAACAACCUUAUACCCAUCUCCUGCUAUCCUAUCCAAAUCCUUUUUAGAACCAUAACUAAGUCCAAAAACUCCCAUUUCAUCAUGUCAAAUGCCUUAUCAAAAUCUAGUUCGAGGACCAAGCCUUUUUCGUUCUAUGCGUAUGUCCCACUGCUUCAUUAGUUGUAAGGGACAAUAAUCCAAUAAUCUAAUAUCCAUUAUGGUACGUUUUUCUUGGAUAUUAGGAUGAUCAAUAUUGAUUUCAUACUUCUACAAAUUCUCUCAUUCAAGUGAAAUUCCUCAAAAACUUUCAUCAAAUGAUCUUUAUAAUAUCCCAACAUGAUUGAAAAAAUGCACAUAUAAAUCUAUCAGAGUCAGGAGCUUUUUUUGUGCUUAUUCUUCUAAUAGCUCUCCUAAUCCGAGUCAGGAGCUUCCUAAGCGUUCUGCUUGAGCUACGCUCAUGGGGUGCCAAUGGAUAUCUUCUAUAUAAGGGUGUAGAAACACUUGGUUUGGUUAAAAAAAAUUCAAAAGUAAACAAAAAAAAGCUAAUUGGCACUCAAUAACUGAUUGAAUACUGAUAUGCUUAAAUAAGAAUAACCAAAAACAAAAUUGAGCUGAAUAUAUUUUAAAUUGAAAAUUUGAGUAAAAUACUACUUUUACUCAAUUUGGUUAAAAAAAUUUCAAAACAAAAAAAAAAAUUGUUAAAUCUUAUUAACUAACCGAAUCGACUGAUUAAGUGAGAAUGACCGAAAUUGAAUGAGUUUAAUAUAUUUUAAACUGAAAAAUUGAAUAAAGUACUAAUUUUAUUUCCUUAUACACAAUUUAUAUUUUAUAUUUCAUUUUCAAACUUUAAAAUUUUAAUUUCAUUAUCAACUGAUUUCGUUUUACUAACUUGAUUGCAGGAAGAUUUAAUAAAUCUACGAAUGAUUCAUGUAUGUAUAACAAAGACAAUUAGUGUUUGACAUUGAUAAAACAAUAGUUUAUUUCUUUAGUCUCGUAUUUUUAGAUAUUUUUUAUCCUUUCAUUUUUUCGACAUCAUUUAUACGUAUAAUUAUUUAAUAUCUAAGCGUGUUCUUUAUCCUUUUAUUGUUGGUUGGUAAACUAGUGUAAUUAAAGUACAAAUAUUCUACCACUAUAAAGAGAGAGAAAUAAAUAUAAUGUUUGUCUUGAUAAUAAUUUUUUAAUUAAUUGAAAGAAAUUUUAUAAUUAUAUUUUUUAAUUUUACUUUAAUUAUUACCAAAUUUAAUCAUGUUAUUUCUUAAAUACUAAUUGAUCUUUUCAUGUUAAUACAAAGAGUUUUUGUAACGACCCCGAAAAUUUAAAAGGAAAUGUAUAUAAAAAAAAAUCUGAGUGCGGAAGCGAAAUAAAAGGGUUCUGAUUAAUAUCCCUAACACAAUAACUUAAAACGUACUAAUAAUAUCAAAGAAUAAGUCAUCUAAAGGAAAUACUAGAAAUGAAAGACUAUAAAGAAAACUAUAAGAUAUAUAGGCAUCUACUCGCCGUCUUCUUGCAGAAUGGGUUUGGGAACCAAGUUCUCCUGAUAUGAAAUGGUUAAGUAAGGAAUGAGCUACACUAGUCCAGUAAGAACGUCACACUAUAUCACUGUCACAAAAGUAAAGGUUGGUAGAAAAAAACAAAAACAACCAAUGAAGUACGAUUUUUAAACAAAUUCAUUUAUCAAUAAUCAAACUAUUUACCUCAGUGAGUGUUAUAAAAACGAUCUAUAGAAACAAUAACAUCAUAGAUAUCAUGAAUUCAUACAUAUUCUGUAACAUAACACAUGUUAUACUUUUAUAUUUCAAUCAUCAAAUAGCAAUUGCCCUAUUUUAUCAGCCUACUAGUAUCCAUGAGGAUCUAUAGGGGUCUCCGCUACACGUGAACUAUUCAAUUUAACAAACUUAAUUCCAGGGCCAUCCCUAUACCCUGUCCGGUAUGGGCGCCAAAAUAAUAAACCUUAAUACCUCGUUCGGUAUAAGGGUGAAGCGGGUCGUCCUCAUACCCCGUCUGGUAUGAGCGUCAAAACAUUUAAAGUCUCCAUACCCCAUUCGGUAUGAGACAACGUUCCCGUUAGGGUUCCCUAUGGACCCGAUCAGUUUACUAUCUCCCAGGAUAUCUAGUGAGGCUGUCGUCUUAUCCAAUUAUCAAUUCAAUCCCAUUCCUAUUUAUCCUUAAUCUCUGUUACCCAUUCAAAUAUGAAUACUUAAACAAGCAACGUGCAUCCAACAAGGCAAGCAUAUCUUAGAUUCAUAUAAUUAAGCAGCAGUGAAGUAAAUAGUGAUUCAUGCAUUCAAAAUCAUAAAAUGAAUAAACCAAAUACCACAAUGUAUUUAAAACUGUAAAAUAAAUCAAACAGAAACUGACAGAGAAAUAUGUCCGAUUCGGGCUCCAUUAGCAACUGUAAUUAAUUAUGCAUAUUUACUUAAUUUGUACAAAAUACAGUUUUAUCAUUUAUUCAGACUUCAAUCCCGUGAUAGAAAAUAGGGUGAGGGGUCCUUACCUGAUUCGAAAUCAAAAAUAUGAUUUUCACUGCACCUACGGACAGUCCCUAGAUUUAUUGAAUUUUUUUUCGAGAAUUGAGACGCUCUUACGGUACCUACACACGUCCCAAAUAACUCAAAAAUCAUAUCCAAGGCCUACUCGGCUAAUUUCAGAAUUCUGGCAUGGCGGCUCCGCCAUGCUCCGGCGACAGCGAUCCGCCUUGGGUUGGCUGUUUUUGGCCGUUUCCGGCCGAAUUCAGCCAAACUUGUACCAGUUCCUGCGAGAAAACUCACGCAAUGCCCUCGGUGGGCCGAAAAAAUACAGAAAACCGAAACUUACCAGCGGCGGGGCUCUCCGGUGCGGCGGCUCCUUCGGCUCGAGUCCUGGUUUAGUGUUUUGCUCCGGUAAACCUGUAGAGGAGGAAACGGUAGUUACAAUGGUAAAAAAAUUACGUCGAACGGGACCGGAAAUGGCCUCAUCGGAGGCAAAAAUUAAGAUAACCUGUUGCGGCGCCGCUGGGCUUCGGCGGCAUUUUCCAGUCAAUUGGCUGAUUUUUUUCUCCAAUUUGGCCAUAGGUGGGUUUAGAAUCGAAUUCUGAGCCAAUGGGAGAAUUUUUUACCUCAUUUGGCAGCCGAAAAUUGUUCCAGUGCAGCGGUGGGUGGCGGCGGUCGGCUCUCCAGUGGGUGGCAGCCGCCGGCGGGCUGUCUUCUCCGACGAGGGGCUCUGGCGGCUAGGGUUAGGGUUUGGGUGUGGAUGAGAUUAUUUAUAACCUUCCGCUUUUAAUCUGAGUCGUCCAUCGUAAUUUAAUCUUUACCGUCCGAUCGCGAUUAAAUAAGAAAUGAAUAUGGAUCGUAUAUCGCGAUGCAAUCUGAACCGUCCAUGUGCGAUUCAAUCUGGGUCAUCCUGCGCGUGCAAUCUGGGCCGUCCGUACGCGUAGGAACGGAUCUCAGUCAUUCGAUCGUGCGCACGCAAAUCGCCCACGUGGCUCCCUUCCGUAUAGUCUCUCGUGUCAGCGUCCCUGCCACGCCGCGCAUACUGGUUGGCCGGGGCUGCUGAUCGGGCAGCUGACGUGGUGCAAUUUUUUUAAAUUGCGUUUUGACCCCCGAUUUUCAAAUUUUCUUUCAAAAAUACUCAUAAAACCCAAAUUUACACUCAUUUUUAUCAAAAUUAUUUUUAAUUAGAUCCCUAAGUAAUUUUUACUCCUUUUUAUUGUUUGUAUUAUUAUUAUUUCAUUUAAAAUAAAUUAAAUUUUAUUAAUACUUAAUUAUAUUUAUAUAGAAUAAAUUAAAAUAAAGUAAAAUACAAUAAAAUAAUAAUAAUAUAAAAAAAAGGAUUCUUGGGUGUUACAGUUUUCACAUUAAAAUUAUUAUAUUUUUUAAUGAUUAUUAUUUUUUUUUGAAUUUUUGAGAUUUAAUCUUAAACAUACUUAAAAUUAUUUUAUAUUUUUUAUUACAAUUAAAUAUUUUAUAAUAUUUUCUAUGUCCAACACCAACAUAUUCGUUUAUAAUAAUAUAUUUUAUCGAAAGUUAUUAAUAUGCAAAAAAAUUAAUUCAAAAUUCAAAAAUUAUAAUAUCUUUGACGAAUUUAUAAAAUUCAAACUUGGCUAACAAAAAUAAUUUUAUAAAAUAUGCUUUUUGGUGGAAGAGAGGAAAAUAGAUAAAAAAUAGAUUUAGUUAAAAAAAAUAUUUAAUUAAAAAUUGAUUUAACAUUUCUUUGAAUUGGUUCAAGGGGCCGAACCCAAAUGACGAGAACAAUUGGAUCUGGGUAUCCUGCAACAGAGACGAACGACUAGGCUUGUUUGAAGCUUUGAAGAGGUAUAUACUCGUCUUGUUUGUAUUUUGGGAGUUAGGGUUUAUAAAUUCAUCCUUAGCCAGCAGGGAUCAGACGAGUCCCUUUCGAUCGAGUCGCUUCCGAUCUGUNNNNNNNNNNNNNNNNNNNNNNNNNNNNNNNNNNNNNNNNNNNNNNNNNNNNNNNNNNNNNNNNNNNNNNNNNNNNNNNNNNNNNNNNNNNNNNNNNNNNNNNNNNNNNNNNNNCGUCAUGAUCAAACUAGGAGAAAAUUUUUGAACUUUCACUUUCAAUCACUGAUUUUUUAGGUCAAGCAAUGAACUUGACUAAAAAAAUGAUCUGGGUGACUUCGUUUAUAAUUUGGGUUGGUUUGGAUUGAUGGUUCUUUUUGCUUGGAUAAUUUUGAGUUUGUUAAAUGUGAUUACUUGGAUUUUCAAUCUACUUUCCUGUGUUUACAUCUAAGUAUAUGUGAUUUAAAUAUUGAUUGUAUCAGGUUGAAAGCUUUUUAGCAAUUAGGGAAUACGGAUGGACACUGGAACUAAAUUCUAGUAAUUUCCCUGGCAAGUUUUCUGGUUAUCACUUUAAGCUAUAUAUCCUAAGCAAACUAAUAUAAUGAUUUUCAAAAACUAAUUUAUCCAUAAUGUGGUUAUACUUGGUUCUCAUAGGAGAAUCUAUGGCAGAUUCUGACAUUAAUUGUGUGGACAAUAAUGUUUCUUUGUUGAUAGUAUGUAUUGAUUGACAGCUUUUAGGUUUAAAUAUUACUGGUUUGAAUUUGUUAAAUGUGAUUACUUGGAUUUUGAAUCUGGUUUCCUGUGUUUACAUCUAAAUAUGUGAUAUCUAAAUGUUGAUUAUAUCAGGUUGAAAGCCUUUUACCAAUUAGGGAAUGCGGAUGGAUACUGGAACUAAAUUCUAGUAAUUUCCUUGACAGUUCUCUAGUUGUCACUAUUAGUUAUAUAUCCCAAGUAAACGAGUGUACCGAUUUUCAAAAACUAAUUUAUCCAUAUUGUGGUUAUACUUGGUUCGUGUAGGAGAAUCUAUGGCAGAUUCUGACGUUUGUUUUCUUUUGUUUUUUGAAUAAAGGGUGGGAAAAAGCACCAGAUUGAAAGCAUUGUAUCUUGGAACAUUUGGUAAGUCCACUACUCAAUUUUGAUGGUUGUUUAUUUUAUGGAAAAUAAUGUGACAUUAUAUGUAUUUUUCUUCUAAAAAAUUGAUAUUUUUUAAGUAGUGUAUAUUGAUUAACAGCUUUUAUGUUAGUAUUACAUAAAAUGCAGUUAUUGCUAUGUGGUCUCAUUUGUUCACAUUGAUUGGACAAGUACUUGGUUCUUAUAGGAGAAUCUAUGGCACAUUCUAACAUUGAUUGUGCGGACAAUAAUGUUCUUUUGUAGAUAGUAUGCAUUGAUGAACAGCUUUUAGGUUUAAAAAUUAGUAAGUGCAGUUAUUGCAAUCUGGCUUCAUUUGUUAACUUUGGUUGUGUCGGGUACAUGAAUGUUUCUGCUGGUUAAAAUUUAGGGUUAGGUUCAGUUACAUUUUGCAUUGACCAAUGCAUAUUCCGGGAAUGAAUCCAUUUAUGGAAAAACAAAUUAUCAUUUAUAAAUGCUGUACCGUAACCAUGAUUAUGCACACUUGAUGUAACUCUGGCGCUCUGAAGUCUUUGAUUAUAAUCGUUCAUCAAAAUUCUUGCAUCUAUUUCUCUUCGGAAUCUCAAAGGAUUGUGUCUUAUACAUAUUGUUUUGACAAUUAUUGAUUGGGAAAUUUUUGUUAUAAUCCUGGCUGGCACUGAAGCAAUAUGCAUGUAUGUUAAUAUGAUCUUUCCCCAGUUUAUUUUUUUUAAAAAAAAUGAUCUUUCCCUGGUCAAGCUUCUAAAUAUUUCAACCCUCAAAACGAAAUUUCAUCUUAUCAUUAUUGUUGGUAAAUGAUUGAGACAGUCUUCGUUCGACAAAUCUUAACCACAUAUAUUCAGGAGUAAUUUUACGGUACUAUAAAUUUAGGAACUUGUCCUCUAUAUAUCAUGAAGUUUUUAAAGUUGGAGAUGGUGUAAUCACUCUGUUGCUUUGGGAAUGUUUAAUGUAACUAAAAUUAUCUGCAGAUGAAUGGUUUGUGAUGGUAUGAUCAUUGCCCAUUUCACGGAAAUCUCUUUUUUCCUUUUCUUUUGCAUUACGGAAUGAUGUAUUAUCAUGUUAUGUUUUACUAUCACAGUUUCUCUUCUCUAAAUCCAAUAAUCAUUUGACAUAUGCUAACUGAAUUAUAAUUUACAAACAGAUGUCUCCACCUGUCUUUAUGUCAGUGGUCAACCAAGAGAUACAUCCAGACAACUAUAGCCCCAUAGUGCUGAAAAUGCACUGGAUACUUCCUCAUGCAUGUAAGUUCCAGAACUUCAAUUUUAUUGAGUAAGAUACUUGCCUGAGUUUUCGGUAUUGACAGCACAAUAGAUAUUUCUUUCUCGCCGGUCUCCAUCUGUUGGAGUAUAUCGACCUCAUUAAAUAUUGUAAAUUCAGUCAGAUCCUUUGAUUCAUCUUCUUUGAUAUCACUAGUAUCUGCAAGAUUAUAGAUGUGGUUGUUGUACUGAUCUGUAUCAACAAUAUUAUCGCACUCAAACACUCAAUCAACUUCUCCUGGAUCCAAUAGCAAGUUGAGAUCCAAUGGCUGUAGCUUAAGUAGAGAAGGAUUGGUAGAACUAAAAAAUUGUGAACUUUAAAACCAAAUCAAGAGGAUUGUAAAUUUUAGUUCUAUCAAUCCUGCCCUACUUAAGUUACAACCAUUAGACCUCCACCUGCUAUGGAUUCAAGAGAAGUCGAUCGCUUGCUUGAGUGCGAUAACAUUAUUGAUACAGAUUAGAACAACAACCACAUCUAUGAUCUUGCAGAUAUUGGUGAAAUAAAAAAAGAUGAAUUAAAGGAUCUGACUAAACUUACAGUAUUUAAUGAGGUUGAUAUACUCCAGCAGAUGGAGACCGACAUUGAAAAAAUAUCUAACAGGUGCGCAGAGCCAGAGCCUGGCAUGUUCGCCUGGUCGUGCUGUCAAUAUCAAAAUCCCAGGCGAGCAUCUUACUCCUCAAUCGUAGAGAGAAAGAAUAAGAGUGUAAAGUGGUUUCCUGCUCCAGACUGCAAGCUGUGGUAGGGAGUAAUGGAUUCAUGAUGUGUCAUGUGCACGUUACCCCAAAUUUUGCUAGCAUUGUAGCCACAAGGCUCACUGUCCUGUAGACUGUGACAGUAUGAAGCAAUGGAUGUUGAAGAACAAGUUAGACAGAGGUAACAUGGAGUGGUAUUACUGAAUAUAUAUGCAAGCUGAUCUUUUAAGAUUGUAUAAAAAUAUCUCCGCACAAUUUGGAAAAUAUCUGAGGAAUUUUUGUUAAUGAAAGAGUUCGUUGUACAGCAAAGCGAGCUUGUUUUUCUUGCACUUUGCGAGAGAAUACAAUGUGUUGGACCUUCUGUUCCCUAAUAAGUUGUAAAGAAAUCUCUGUGAAGCUCUUUUUUCUCAACCAAGAGGCUUUGCCUCUUGCAUCUUUUCCUCCAGAACGUUGAAAAGAUUUUCUUUUCUCAUAGACGCUAUGUUCUUAGAUGGUUCACAUCCAUUUAUCUUUCCAAUCUUAAAGAGCGUCUGGGAGGUGUCAUUUUCACUGAUGGUGAUUUGUUAGGGAAUUAUUCAUCAUGCCCAAUGUUGAAAUUUGUGCAAUUAUGGACUGCAAUAUCUUUUCUAAAGGUUCUAAAUGUCUCUGCUCUCAGACUCAAAUAUCUUUAGAUAGACUAUUUUCGUGGGCUCAAAAACAUUGAGAUCAAUCUUCAUACUUGAAGUCUUAUAUCACUUAUACUGGGAGGAAAUCUUGCACAAAACUAUCAUAUUCGGGACGGUCCUAUUCAUUAUGUAGAUAUUCAAGUUGGAGAAGUUUACAGAAACCAAAUGAGUAUAGAUGUUUCUAGUUAGUCUGCGUUUAAGUUGCUGACUGAAAUCUGUAAUGUUACCGUACUAGCUGUGGAUAAUUUGUUUCGGGAGGUAUAUGCUUUGUCCAUUUCUUCUACUUAUUGAGUUUUCAUAUUUUUGGCUAAUUACUUGAUUUCUUUAAUGCAUCCUCUUACCGUUCCUUUUAAAACAUUCAAUUAACCCAUGAAAUUCCUUUCCUUUUAAUACACAGAAGAUUACGAUCCUCCUCGAUAGAAUGUCAAAUGUAUAUAAUGCCUACUUUCUAAUGAUUGUGAGUUCCUAAACUUCAAUUUUUGUCAUAUUUUACACAUUUAUUAGCCACUAUUAUUUGGGGACAGUAGGUUACUUAAUUGUUAAAGUGCAUGCUUACUAUAGUAAUUAUGUUUAUUAUUUUUUUGCUUUUCUGAACUAUAUUAAAUUGUGCAGGCACAAGAAGAGACUUUAUUCUUGUCCACUUAGGAAUGGAAUUCAGAAAACCAUGUGACUGUUGGGAUUCCAAAUUUUCUGGAAUAUGUUUACAUUAACAUGUCUUUUGGACAUGAAAUUGGCCAUCUCUAUCUUUCAGAAUAGUACUUAAGCGAUGAUGGAAAGAAGUAUAAGAUUAUUGAGAAGUUAUUAGUACUUCCAAGAACUUCAACAAAAGCAGAAGUACUUCUGUUGUAGUUUAAAUUUUAGGUUCUCAAAAGAGGUAAUAACAUUUUUGCUACUUAUUUUCAACAAGUAAGGGGUUCUUACGUUUGCACUUGAGUUUCACAAAUUUGCACUUAAGUUAAUGAGAUGUCCUUGCCAAUAUUGGUCGAAAGAUUCUUGGGUAAAUUCUUUUCUUGGCAAUAUCUACAAAAUAAAAUUUCUGCUUAUUGUUGGGAAUUGUCCAUUAGGAAUUUGCAGUAUCAGUACUGAAAUGCUCAUGUUUUUGUAGGUAACAUUAUUUCCUUAGGCCAACUAUUGGUUUUUGCUAUCGGUUUGUGGAACUGGAAAAUUCAAUGCGUGGUUAGCUAUAUUUCUAGUGUUUUGACCAUCUCCUUAGGAGUAGACAAUCAUAUGUUGAUUAACUAUGUUUUUUGGAAUUUUUAUUAUUUUUGCUGUGAAAUUUUUAGGUGCAUACCCAAGUCAAACACAAGUUAAAUUGCAAUGCACAUCAGAUUGUUUCGGUGUCCCUUUAAGUUGUUUUAAGGUUUUCUGUAUGAAAGGAAAAAGAAAAAAGAAAUGGCUCACUCUCAACUGAUUUCAAUUCUAUGUUUCUCUGGUUGCAGGAAAAAAUCAAAUUGCUGAAUGGUUCAUGUGUGGACAACAAAGAGAAUUAGUGUUUGACAUAGACGAAACAAAAGUUUAAGUCUUUUGUCCUGUAUCUCGGGACACUUACGUUAAUGAGGCUAUCGCGUCCCUUUCGAGAAGACCAAGGAUAAAAGGGGCCUAUCUUGAUAGGAUUAGAUAGUUUAACCUCUUGAUGAAACUAGUGCUUACUUUGUCAAAUAAAUGUACAUUUUAUUCAAUCUUUUUUUAUACUAAGGGCCAAAUUUUAUGGCCCCAAUGCUGUGAUAUAGUUGUCUAUAUGUAUUAUAUGUACAGAUAGCAUGUAGAAAGAAACUCAGAAGUCAGGAAAUUAGAAAACUUAUCAUGAGAUUAGAGUAUGGAGAAGGAGAUGUAGCAGCUUGUUUUUCUUCUUUGUCAUAAUCUCCUUUUGAAUGUAAUGUAAUGGAAUUGCAAAAGUUUUGGAAUUUAAAGGAUUCCUCUUUGAAGCACUUUCUCUAGUUUGGUUGUCUUCUUAUUGUAAGCGGUAAACUGUUAUCGAUAUGGAAUAAUUGUGAUCGAACUAUGCAAAUCUAUCUUUUUUUUUUCUGAUAUUUCUCUUAUUGAAAUGGAUUUAUGUUGGAAUUAUUGUUUUUAGGUUAAAGAGUACUUCAAAAAUUUGUGGUAAAUUUGUUCCAUCUAAUGAUUAUUUUUUAUUCGUUGUUGAGAUAUAAUAUAUUUAAGAAAUAAAUAAGUAUAAUGAUGUAAAAAUAUAUUAAAUUAGAGAAUUUUUUUAAAAAUAUAAAAUUAGAUUAAAUUUAAAAAUUAAAAAUUAAAAUCAAUACUAAUAUAAGACCAUUUAUUCGAUUGAAUGUUUUUAAAUAUUAUUCUAAUUUAUAAUAAUAUAGUUUAUUAAAAUAUAUUAAGUUUUAUAUUAUACAAUGUUAGAUGGAUUUUUAAAUUAAAUAAAGCAAAUAUUUCAAAUAAAAUGCAAAACGGCACACAUAUGGUGCGUUCUUCUGGGUAGAUAAGUUUGGAUUUAACAUUUCAUCAGCGGAUCCCGAAUGAAACACAAUCGGGUUAGGGUAUUCUUCGGAUCUUGUUUGUGUUUUGAGAGUUAGGGAUUAUAAAUUCAUCGUUAACCACCAGGUAUCCCACGAGCCGCUUCCCAGCUUUGGAAUAGAUUGAGGGAAGUCUGCAUAGAAUCUUACCAGAGAGAUGGAUGCUGUAAAACCUGGAGAGAAACAGCUAGAGAAAGAAGAUGACGACGACGACGAAGAUGAAGGAACCGUCGUGGAUCAUGAAGUCCUUCCGUCGAAUAAGUAAUUUACCAAGGUAAUCUCGGUUGUUGUCUCUUGGCUGAGCCUCUUUUUAAUCUUUUAUCACUACGUUUUUGCACUUGAUUUGGAUUUCUUCAUGAUCGAUUGAAGCGGGAAAUUGAAAAAAACAAAGAUAAACUUUUUUGAUCUUUCAAUUCAGUUGCUGGUUGUUUUAGGUCAAGCAAUGAACUUGACUGAAAAAAUUAUCUGGGUGGCUUCAUAUAUAAUUUGGGUCGAUUUGGAUUGAUGGUGAUUUUUGCUUAGAUAAUUUCAGUUGGUUAAAUGUGAUUAAUUGGACUUUGAAUCUACUUUCCGGUGUUUACAUCUAAAUAUAUAUGAUUUGAAUAUUGAUUAUAUCAGGUUGAGAGCUUUUUAGCAAUUAGGGGACACGGAUGUGUACUGGAACUAAAUUCUAGUAAUUUCCCUAGCAGUUCUCUAGUUGUCGCUUUUAGUCAUAUUUCUUGAGCACGCUAGUAUUCUGAUAUUGAAAAAUUAAUUUAUCCAUAUUGUGGUCAUACUUGGUUCUUGUAGAGAAUCUAUGGCAGAUUCUGACGUUUGCUCUUUUCUUUUAGAAAAAAAGAUUGGGAAAAUGCACGGGUUUGAAAGCGUUGUAUCUUGGAACAUUUGGUAAGUUCACUGCUCAAUUCUGACGUUUGUUUAUUUUAUGAAAAAUAAUGUUACGUUAUAGACAUUUUUCUUCUAAAAAAAUGAUACUUUUUAGUUAGUGUAUAUCGAUUAACAGCUUUUAGGCUUAAUAGUACUUAAAUGCGGUUAUUGCUAUGUGGCCUCAUUUGUUAACAUUGAUUGUGACAAGUACUUGGACAUUUAGGGUUAGGUUCAGUCACAUUUUGUAUUGACCAACGUAUAUUCCGGGAAUGAAUCCAUUUAUGGAAAGAAAAGAUUUUCAUUUAUAAAUGCUGUACCUUAACCAUGAUCAUGCACACUUGAUGUAACUCUGGCGCUGGUGGGAUCUGAAGUCUUUGAUUAUAAUCGUUCGUCAAAAUUUUUGUAUCCAUUUCUCUUCGAAAUCUCAAAGGAGUGUGUCUUAUAGAUACUGUUUUGACAAUCAUUGAUUGGAAAAUAUUUGUUAUAAUCCUGGCUGGUGCUGAAGAGUAUGCAUGUAUGUUAAUAUGAUCUUUCCCCAGUUUAUUUUAAAAAAAUCUUUCCCUGGUCAAGCUUCUAAAUAUUUCAACCCUCAAAACAAAAUUUCAUCUCAUCAUUAGUGUUGGUAAAUGAUUGAGACCAUAUUGAGGAGAAAUUUUAUGGUACUAUAAAUUUAGGAACUUGUCCUCUAUAUAUCGUGAAGUUUUUCAAGUUGGAGGUGUAAUCACUCUGUUGCUUAGGGAAUGUUUCAUGUAACUAAAUUUUCUGCAGACGAAUGGUUUGUGAUGGUAUAAUCUCUGCUCAUUUCGUGUAAUUUCUUUUUUCCUUGCCUUUUGCAUUACAGAAUAAUGUACUAUCAUGUUAUGUUUUGCUGUCGCAGUUUCUCUUCUCUAAAUCUGACAAUCAUUUGACAUAUGCAAAUUGAAUUGUGUUUUACAAACAGGUGCCUCCAUCUAUCUGUCUGGUCAGUGGUCUACCAAGAGAUACGUCCAGGCAGUUAUAGCCCAAUAGUGCCGAAAAUACACUGGAUACUUUCUCAUGCAUGUAAGUUCCAAAACUUCAAUUUUAUUGAGGAGUAAGAUACGUGCUUGGGAUUUCGAUACUGACAGCACAAUUGAUAUUUCUUCAAUAUCGGUCUCCUCUUGUUGAAGUAUAUUAACCUCAUUAAAUAUUGUAAAUUUGGUAAGAUCUUUUGAUUUAUCUUCUUUGAUAUCACCAGUGUCUGCUAGAUCAUAGAUGUGGUUGUUGUGCUGGUAGUAUCAAAGAAGAUAAAUCAGAGGAUCUAACCAAAUUUACAAUAUUUAAAGAGGUUGAUAUACUCCAGCAAAUGGAGACCGACAUUGAAGCAAUACUAUUGUGCUGUCAGUAUUGAAAUCUCAGGAAAGUAUCUUGCUCCUCAACAUGGCUGGAGCACUAAUAAAGUGUACGAUAAAUGGUUUUCUAAUGAAUGCAAGGUUCGUGAGAGGACCAGUUAGUUAAUUGAGAAUCUACCAAAAGUUUCGUUAGUCUUAUUAAUUACAGAAUCUGCUUUGGAUCUUAUAGUCAUGAUAAGAUUCAAUCGGCUUCUUGUGGCCAUGGCCAUUAGUGGUUGUUUGGGGCUAAGGUGUCCAGAGCCAUCUUGCAGCACAAUUGUCUGCCAGGACAUGGGUUUUUGGGUUGCCCACUUAGGUGGAAAAGGAAAAAUAUCUUGGUUACGUUGUUCAAUUUUAUGUACAAAAAAGGAAUGAUAUUUUAAAGUGAUGUCCCAUUCCAGACUGCAAACGUGCAAUCGUUCUAGCAGUGGUACGGAGUAAUGGGAUUCAUGAUGUAUUAUGUGCAUGUUACCACAAAUUAUGACACUGUGAAUCAAUGGAUGUUGAAGAACGAGUGAGAUGGAGGUAACAUGAAGAGUUUUUACUGAAUAUUAUGCAAGCUGAUUUUUUAAGAGUAUAUGAAAAUGUCUCCACACUGUGUCGAUAAUGUCGUGAUUGUUGGAUCCUAAAUUUUGAGGAAUUUUUUUUAAUGAAAGAGUUUGUUGUACAGCUAAGCUAGCUUUUUUUUUUUCUGGCAUUUUCCCAGAAAAUACAAUAUGUUGGACCUUCUGUUCUCCAAUGAGUUGUAAAGAAAUCAAGUAAUUGUAUGUGUAGCUCUUUUUCUCAACCAAGGGGGUUUGGCCCUUGCCUCUUUUUGUCCACUGCUGUAAUAUAGUUGUCUAAUUGUAUUAUAUGUACAGAUAGCAAGUAGAAAGAAACACUGGGAAAUCAGUGAGUUAAAAAACUUGUCCGGACAUAAAAGUAUGAAGAUGGAGAUGUGUAGCUUGAUUUUCUUCCUUGUGUUAAUCUCCUUCUGAAUGGAGGGUAAAUGGAAUUUCGAACUUUUGGAAUUAAUGGAUUCCUCUUUGAUGAACUUCUAGUUUGGUUGUCUAUUUUUUGUAGACCGGAAUUUGAUUAUGUUAGUUGAAAUCAUUGUUUCUAGGAUAAGAGUGUCAAAGAAAUAGCGAGGAUGGAAUGUUAAUGACAAAAUCCCUCAAAAUCUAUUUGACGCGAUUUCAGAUAAUUAUUUAUGCGUUGUUUCAAAUAAUUUAAAUUGUUCUAUGUGUUGAAUAUUUUCUUUUUAGGUUUGUUGAUGAUUUAGCUUUAGGGAUUGUUUCAGAUAAUGAUCGAGAAAGAUAAUUUUGACUGAAAAAUAUUAAUUAUGUCGAGUUCUAAAAAAGUUAAUUCUUCGGAUUUAUUUAUUUUUUAAUUCAAAUUUCAAAAUUUGUUAUAUGAAAUAUAAAUAUUCUCAAACGAAUUAUUUAUUUAUUUUUUAUAAAUUUUUAAUACAUAAAUUAAAUUUUCGAACUUUAAAAUUUAAAUGUUAUUUUAUCUCUAUUUAAAAUUUAUUUAUCGGUAAAAUAAGAGUAGUAGAUGUCCAAACCAAGAACAAUUUUUUUUUAUUCAUUUGAAACUCAAAAUCUUUUAUUCUUCAAAAAAGUUGUAAUAUAUAAACUGAAUUGUCAAGGAAUUUAUGAUGAGUUUUGAUAUUUUUGAGAAAUGGUUUGUAUUAUAGGAGAUAAAUAAUAUUUUUAAUGAUUAUAUUUAAAAAUAAAAUUAUUUACUAAUUUUAUAUUUUUUAAGUUAGUAAAACAUUACCUCAUUAUAAAAUAAGUAAUAUAGUUAAAUUUUUAUUAUUUUUAUAAAAAAAUUUUGUAUUAUUAGAAUAAUAUUUUUUAAAAAAUAAUAUUAUUUAAAUGAUUAAAAUAAUUAAAAUUUUAUGUUAUCUAAUUUUUUUUAUUAUUUCAAAGUUUAUUAUUAAUUUAUAAUAUUAUUAACUAAAUGUAACAUCAUAUUUUAUAUUGAAAUAUUUUACAACAAGUUUUAUUAAUCACUUUAUUGUUCUUCACUUAAAGUAAUUUUUGUUAAAACUCAUUUUUAAAUUACAUUUUUCCCUACAUCGAAAGUAUAAGUAUGAGUACCCAAGUGUUCAUGUUUAUGUCAUUAACAUACAUAAUUAUUAUUGUCUUAUACCAACUUUUACUUCCUCUAUGUUGUUUUAGAAUUGGAAAAUUCAAUACUUUGUUGACUUAAUUUUAGUGUUUUGAUAUUUUCCGAGUAAAAGAUAUCAUAUGCUUAUUAGCUCUACUUUUAGAUAUUAUUAUUUUUCGUGUAGAAUGCUUAUAAGCAUUAUUGAACUUUUAUACGAAUGUAAUGCUUUAACAAGUUAAAUAAAAAUCAACAUUGUUUCGUGAUAUUUUUAGUUGGUGUAAAUUUUUCUAGUUAAAAAAAAAAAUAACUUCAUCUCAACUAGUUUCACUUUUAGUGUUUACCUAGUUGCAUAAAAAACUCAAUAAAUUUCUGAAGAAUCCGUGUUUAGAGAAUGAAGACAAUUGACUUUUGAUAUUAAGAAAAUAACUUGUUAACUCUUUAAUAGUCUUUUUCAUUUUUUUUUUUUGAGAGUUUAGAUUAGUGAAAUUAUCAUAUAUAUUUGAAGAAAAUCGAGAUAAAAACGAGAGUAACUUAAUAGGUUAAUAAAAAUUUAGUCUUAUGAUGGAAGUAACGAUUACUCUCUUAAACAGAUUUAUUAAUAGUUUUUGACAUCUCUUUCUCUUUGAGAUACAAUUUUUUAUUUUUUAUUUUUUAAUUUUUGAACAUCAUCGAUACGUCUAAUGUUUUAGCAUUUUAAACAUAUUUCAAAUUAGUUAUUGUUGGUUAAUCAACUGUUUUUAUCAAAAUAAAAACAUUCAAUAACUGUGAAUGGAUAUAAAUAAAUGAAGAUUUAUUUAUAUAAUAAUUCUUUAAUUAGUUACAAGAAAUUUUAUGAUUAUUACCGCAUAUAACCACUAUUUGAUGAUAUUUAACAACUGAUCUUUAUUUAAUAAUAAUCGAUCUUAUUAUAAUAAUCAAAAAAAUUCUUUAAGAGUUUGUGUGGUAAAUAUGCUCAUUUAUUCAAUGAUCAUUUUUUGUUAUAUUAUAAUAUAGUACAUUUAAGAAAUAAAUGGAUAUAGUCAUUUUAAAUUAUAUUAAAUUAUUAUUAUUUUUAAAAUAUCAAGUUAAAUUAAAUAUUAAAAUAAGCAGACAAAUUAGACAGAAAAUUAUUGGCCUCUCAAACAACUCCACUACUUGCAAAUGCAGAUUCUGAAUUUUCUCCACUGAAUGCAUUCUUCUUUCUCUUUGAUCUGCUUCAAUGAGGCCUUGUUGGGGAUGGUCCUUCUAUUAACUAUGUAGAUAUUCAAGUUGGAGAAGUUUACAGGAACCAAAUGAGUACAGAUGUUCUUAGUUUCAUUGCUUUUAAGUUGCUGACUGAACUCUAUAAUGUUACUGUAGUAGCUGUGGAUAAUUUGUUUCAUGAAGUAUAUGCUUUUUCUAUUUCUUCUACUUAUUGAUUGUUCCCUUUUUUCUCUAAUUACUUGAUUUCUCUAAUGCAUAUCUUACCUUUCCUUUUAAAAAAUACAAGUAACCUAAAACAUUCUUUAGUGUUGAAUGCAGCUUGUCGUCUACGAAGGCCAGUGAUUCAUGGACAUAUUCAAAUGCGAUCACUUUAAAACAUGAGCAAUGUAUAUCUGUCUAUUUGGCCAUCCAAGAAACAUAUACAGAUGAUUAUGGUCCUCCUCUGUAGAAUGCUGAAUGUAUGUAGCAGUUCUUUGGUUGUCACUUUUAGUUAUUAUAUCCUAAGCAAAGGAGUAUACGAUCUUUCAAAACUAAUUUAUCCAUAUUGUGGUUAUAUUUGGUUCUUCUAGGAGAAUAUAUGGUAAAUUCUUACCUUUGUCUUUUUUUUAUAUAUAAAAAGUGUGAAAAAGUACCGGUUUAAAAGUAUUAUAUCUCGAAACAUUUAGUAAGUUCACUACUCAAUUCUGACGUUUGUUUAUUUUAUGAAAAAUAAUAUUACAUUGUAGAUAUUUUUUUCUUAAAAAAAUGAUACUUUUUACUUAGUGUGUAUCGAUUAAAGCUUGUAGGUGUAAUAUUACUUUAAUGCAAUUAUUGUUAUAUGUUCUCAGUUGUUAAUAUUGGUUGUGACAAGUAGUUAAACAUUUAUUCUAGUUCAAAUUUAGGGUUAGGUUUAGUCGCAAUUUGCAUGACCAACGUACAUUGCGGGAAAACAUCCAUUGAUGGAAAAAUAGAUUAUCAUUUAUAAACGUUAUACCGUAACCAUGAUCAUGCACACUUUAUGUGACUCUAUCGCUGAUGCAAUCUGAAGUCUUUUAUUAUAAAUGUUCAUCAAAAUUCUUGCAUCCAUUUCUCUUUGAAAUCUCAAAGGAGCGUGUCUUAUACAUACAUGCUGAAAAGUAUGCAUGUAUGUUAAUAUGAUCUUUGGUCUAGUUUAUUUAUAUAAAAAAAUGAUUUUUCCCUAGUCAAGCUUCUAAAUAUUUCAACCCUUAAAACGAAAUUUCAUCUUACCAUUAUUGUUGGUAAAUGAUUGAGACCAGUCUUCGAUCAAUAAGUUUUUACCACAUAUAUUCAGGAAAAAUUUUAUGGUACUAUAAAUUUAAGAACUUGUCCUCUAUAUAUCGUGAAGUUUUUCAUGUUGGAGGUGUAAUCACUCUGUUGCUUUGGAAAUGUUUCAUGUAACUAAAUUUCUUUCUGAUGAAUGGUUUAUGAUGGUAAAUCAUUCCUAACUUCAUGCAAAUCUCUUUUUUCCUUGUCUUUUGACUUACGGAAUAAUAUAUUAUCAUGUUAGAUUUCUGCGUCGCAGUUUCUUUUUUCUAAAUCCAACAAUCAUUUGACAUGUGCAAAUUGAAUUUUAUUUUUACAUACAGGUGCCUCCACCUAUCUAUUUGGUCAAUGGUGAACCAAGAGAUACGUCCAUAGCCCAAUAGUACCGAAAAUGCACUGGAUACUUUUUCAUGCAUUUAAAUUCUAGAACUUCAAUUUUAUUGAGGAGUAAGAUACAUGGCUGAGAUUUUGAUACUAACAGCACAAUAGAUAUUUCUUUAAUAUCGGUUUCCUCUUGUUGAAGUAUAUCAACCUCAUUAAAUAUUGUAAAUUUGGUAAGAUCUUUUGAUUUAUCUUCUUUGAUAUCACCAGUAUCCGCUAGAUCAUAGAUGUGGCUGUUGUGUUGGUGAUAUCAAAGAAAAUAAAUCAAAAAAUCUAAUCAAAUUUACAAUUUUUAAUGAGGUUGAUAUACUCCAACAAAUGGAGACCGACAUUAAAGCAAUAUUUAUUGUGCUAUCAGUAUUGAAAUCCCAGGAAAGUAUCUUGCUCCUCAACAUGACUGGAGCACAAAUAAAGUGUACGAUAAAUGAUUUCUAAUGAAUGCAAAGUUCGUGAGAGGACCAAUUUGUUAAUUAAGAAUUUACCAAAAGUUUCAAGUUUUGGUAGUCUUCUUACUUGUGGGAUAGCACGUAGAAAGAAUCUGGAAAAUCAGGAAGUUGAAAAACUUAUCUUGAGAUAGAGCAUGGAGAAGGAGAUGUAGCUUGUUUUUUUUUCCUUGUGUUAAUCUUCUUUUUGGAUGAUAUGUACUGAAUUAUCAAAACUUGUGGAAUUUUAAGGAUUCAACUUUGAAAGGACUUCCUCUAGUUUGGUUGUCUUUUUAUUGUACACUUUAAAUACUUAUGUCAGUUGGAAUGAAUCGAUGUUUUCGCACGGUAAUGAUCGAACCAUGCAAAUUUAUCUUUUUUUUUCCUCGUCACUUCUCUAAUUGAAAUGAAUCAAUGCUGGAGCUUCGAAGAAAUAGCGAGUAUGGAACGUGAAUGACAAAACUUUUGUUCGUAAUAAUUAAAUUUGCAUUAUUACCAAAUUUAAAUGGUUAGUUUUAUUUAAUGAAUUUUUUUUGUUCAUUAUUAAGAUAUAAUAUAUUUAAAAUAUAAAUAGAUAUAAUAAUUUGAAAGUAUAUUAAAUUAAUGCGGCUUUUAAAAAUAUGAAAGUGAACUAAACAUAAAUUACUUUGGUUAAAUAUUUUUAAAUGUUUUAUCUGUUCUGUACUUCCAUAUUAUAAUUUAUAAUAAUGUAAUUUAUUAAAAUACAUCUGAAGUCUUAUAUUAUAAUAUGUUAGAUGAAUUUUUAAAUUAAAGAAAUGUAAAUCAAAUAUUUCAAAUAAAAUGCAAAACGACACACAAAUUAGCAGAAGAGUAAUUUUAUUGACUGUUCAUCUGGGUAUUAGAUAAAGUUGGAUUUUGAUUUAAAAAAAAAAAAAUUUGUUGUAACUUUUAUUUACUUGAGGAUAUAAAAGAUAAUUUAUUUCAUUAUAUUGUAAUCUGUUGACUCGGCCCAACCCGACUGAAACAAUCGGAUCAGGGUAUUUUGCAGAUCUUUGUUUGUGUUUUGAGAGAACGGCCUAUAAAUUCAUCGUUAACCACCAGGGAUUGAAGGAGCCGCUUCCGAUCUGUGGAACAAAACUGCGGGAAGUCUGCAUAGAACCUUACCAGAGAGAUGGAUGCUAUAAAACUUGUUGCGAAACAACUAGAGAAAGAAGAUGACGACGACGACGAAGAUGACGACGACGACGACGAAGAUGAAGGAACCAUCAUGCAUCAUGAACUCCUUUCGUCGAAUAAGUAAUUAACCAAGGUAAUCUCGACUGUUGUCUCUUGGGUGAGCCUCUUUUUUUUUAUCUUUUAUCACAAUGCUUUUGCACUUGAUUUGGAUUUCGUCAUGAUCGAUCGAAGCGGAAAUUAAGGAAAACAAAGAGAAAUUUUUUUGUCUAUCACUUCAGUCACUGGUUGAUUAGGUCAAGCGAUGAACUUGACUGAAAAAAUAAUCUGGGUAACUUCGUUUUUAAUUUGGGUUCAGUUGGAUUGAUUGUGAUUUUUGUGUAGGAAAUUUGAGUUUAUUAAAUCUGAUUAAUUUGAUUUUGAAUCUGGUUUCCAGUGUUUACAUCUAAACAUGUGUGAUUUAAAAGUUGAUUAUGCCAGGUUGAAAGCUUUUUAGCAACUAGGGAAUAAGGAUGGAUUCUGAAACUAAAUUCUAGUAACUUCCCUGGCAGUUCUCUGGUUGUCACUUUCAUUUGUUAUAUCCUAAGCGAACUGAGUAUAAAAUUUUGCAAAACUAAUUUAUCCAUAGUAUGGUUAUACUUGGUUCUUGUAGGAGAAUCUAUGGCAGAUUCUGACGUUUGCUUUUUUUUUUUUUUUUCUUCUACGAAUAGUGGGAAAAAGCACCAAAUUGAAAGCAUUAUUUCUUGGAACAUUUGGUAAGUUCACUACUCAAUUCUGACGUUUGUUUAUUUUAUGGAAAAUAAUAUCUUUUUGAUUAUAAACGGUGGAAUCAUCCAUUUUGAUAUAUAAGAAAUGAUCGAUUUGAAAAUGCUGUAAGAGAUCAAAUGUAAAAAUAUUUUUUUUAUACAUGCGAUCAGUAAGCGAACUAGGAUCUGCAAGAUCCUACUUUGAUCCACCCUUCCCUCUCGAAACCUCUUCUUAUCCAUAGACUCAAGAUCCAUAAAAGUGGCUAUCUUGUUUUCAGGCCUACCUUUUUCUUUCUCUACCUUCACCAUAGAUAUUUUUCUUCUAAAAAAAUGAUACUGUUUAGAUAGUGUAUAUCUAUUAACAGUUUUUAGGUUUAAUAUUACUUAAAUGCAGUUAUUGCUACGUGGCCUCAUUUGUUAACAUUGGUUGUGACAAGUACUUGAACAUUGAUGGUAGUUAAAAUUCAGGGUUAGGUUUAGUUGCAUUUUGCAUGACCAACGUGCAUCGUGCGAAAGCAUUCAUUUAUAUCAUUUAUAAAUGCUAUACUCUAACCAUGAUCAUGCACANNNNNNNNNNNNNNNNNNNNNNNNNNNNNNNNNNNNNNNNNNNNNNNNNNNNNNNNNNNNNNNNNNNNNNNNNNNNNNNNNGCUUCUAAUCCGUGAAAUACCUAAGGAAGUCUACAAUCUUUCCAUAGAGAUGUUCCUAUAACACUUGCUGUGAAGGCAUGUAGAUAAAGAAGAUGACGACGAUGAUGAAGACGACAUUGAGCUCAAAAACAUUGAGAUCAAUUUUCGUACCUGAAGUCUCAUAUCAUUAUACUGAGAGGAAAUCUUGCACAAAACUAUCAUAUUAGGGACGGUCCUUGUAUUCAUCAUGCAGAUAUUCAAGUUGGAGAAGUUUAUAAACAGCAAAUGAGUACAGAUGUUCUUAGUUGUACUGCUUUUAAGUUGCUGACUGCACUCUGUAAUGUUACUGUACUAGCUGUGGAUAAUGUUUUUUGGGAGGUAUAUGCUUUGUCUAUUUCUUCUACUUAUCGUUUGUUUCCUUUUUUGCUCUAAUUACUUGAUUUCUUUAGUGCAUCCUCUUACUUUUCCUUUUAAAAAAUACAAGUAACCUCUGACAUUCCUUGGUGGUGCAGCUUCUCUCCUACAAGUCCAGUCAUUCAUGGGCAGAUGCAAAUGCAAUCACUUUAAGACAUGAGCAAUGUAUAUCUGUCUGUCUGGCCAUCCAAGAAACGUAUACAGAUGAUAACUAUCCUCCUCGGUAGACUGCCAAAUGUACAUAGCGCCCACUUUCUAAUGCUUCUGAGUUCAUAAGCUUCGAUUUUCUUCAUAUUUAAUGCAUAUAUAUUAGCCAUUAUCUUUUGGGGACAGCAGGUUUUCAAUUGUUAAAAUGCAUGCUUACUGUAGUUAUUAUUAUUAUUAUUAUUUUGUUUUUCUGAAGUAUAUUAAAAUGUGCAGGCACAAGAACAGCCUUUAUACGUGUUGACUCUGGAAUGGAAUUCAGAAAACCUUGAGACUGUUGGGAUUCCAAAUUUUCUGGAAUAUAUUUACAUUAACAAGUUUGUUGGACGUGAGAUUGAUCUUCUCCUGGUGAAAGUUUUCCUUGAGAAUGCGAAAGCAUUAGUGAAGUUGGCCACUACCUUUCAGAGUGGUGCUGAAUCGGAUGAUGGAAAGAAAUCUAAGAUUAUUGAGAAGUUAUUGGCAUUUCCAAGAGCUUCAACAAACCUUGAGACUGUUGGGAUUCCAAAUUUUCUGGAAUAUAUUUACAUUAACAAGUUUGUUGGACGUGAGAUUGAUCUUCUCCUGGUGAAAGUUUUCCUUGAGAAUGCGAAAGCAUUAGUGAAGUUGGCCACUACCUUUCAGAGUGGUGCUGAAUCGGAUGAUGGAAAGAAGUCUAAGAUUAUUGAGAAGUUAUUGGCAUUUCCAAGAGCUUCAACAAAAACAGAAGUAUUUCUCUUGUAAAUUAAACUUUAGUUUCUGAAAAGAGCUAGUUAUUGGCACUAAG
rnacentral:lncRNA from 1 species